UCACAGCCUUCCCUGGGAACCUGUUUUUAUUCUGCAAGUGGUACUUCAGUUCAGGCUACUUCAUAAAGAUGAUGCUCUUAAUUUUUAUGUUUUUGUGAGUCUUGGAGCUUAAAACUCUGAAGACCUUGUUCCAAAGGCAGGAUUCUGAUAGGACUAGGGAACUUGUCUUUUCUUUCUGAGAAGAUAAAUGUUUCCCUACAGAAGUGGAGCUUAAGGUUGUUAUUAUACUAAUAUAACACAGUCCCCUUUGAAUGAAUCACAAGGGGAAAGCAUAUAAAAACAACUCCUUUCUGGGGCUGCUUAAAUACGGCAUUUUCAUUGCAAGUGUAACUGUAAUAACUCCUUGUGAAUUAACUAGGGUGUCAUAAAUGAACAGCCCAAAGUAGCUGUGGAAGCUUGCUGGCUUCUUUCCCUCUUUCUGGAAAGACUGUUUUAAAAACAGUGUGCACUUGUUCCCUAAGGCUGCAUGGGAUUUCCAGCCACUGGCUUCCCAUGUCUGGCUCAUCGUUUGUGGGAAAACCAAGUUUCUAAGGGCAUUUGCUCAAUGGUGAAUUGCUCAACUUGGUGAUGUGGUAUCAACAUUAAGAACUUUUUGCACAGAACAAGAGGAAAGAGAAGAUGUAUCUAAAGGGCAUUUUCUUAAGUAAGGGAAGUUAAGUAAGUGUAGACUUAACAAUGUGGUAUUAGCAGCUGAACAAUGCUAACCUAGGAUUUUAGACUUGGUGCUGCAAGAGUAGCUAAAUAAGGCAAUGUGGGCAGAGCUGUGUCUGUGGUGAGGACUGUGUCCCACAGUGCUGAGUAGUGGAGGAGGCAGUGUGAGGCUGAGCAGAAGCUCAGUGGAUGCAAGAGUGAGGCUGGGAGCUUUGGUAUGUGCCAGCUGCAGCUGGCUGCAGACAGGGCUGCUGCUCUCUGCCUUCUCCAGCUGUGUGCAACUUUCUCCACCAAAUCUAACACCUGAGCUGUUUGUAAAACUGCUAACCCGAUCUACUUGCCUAUCACAAGUCUUUGUUCCUUGGCUUACUGCUGAAGCUGCAUAAGCUUGUGUGCCCUGCUCUGACUGAAAGCAGAAGGUUGGAUGGCUCAUCUGAACAAGGGGUAACAAGCAGCUGGAAAUGGUACUCUCAGCUCUGCAUGCCUGCUGUGAUAGCAGUGCAUGUAAAGAAUGUAAGGGUGGAUAACUUUAGAGGCUUUCUUUCCUCAGCAGCAAUAAAACCACAUCACUUCCUAGACUGAGCUUCUGGAAAAAAUCAUAUUAAUUUCACCUGGACCUUAUUAGCCUUACAAUUAGAAGGACUUUUUUCACUGUUUUGUGUUCUGGGAGAGAAAGUGACUUUACUGGAUUAAGCUGGGCUAGACUGAGAGAUACAACUGAGAAUCCUGGCUGUCAGUCAGGAUUCAGCACUGUGCAGCUGAGAGGUGGCUCCUGUUCUCAUUGAAGAGUACCUCAGUUACUGGAAGGUACCUUCUGGAUGGAGCCUUCUAAUGCCCUUGCUGUGCAUACCAGGACAUCCUGCCAAACAUCUGGGAACUUCAUAGCAAUGCCCAAUGAGGAUGUUGCCACACCUCUUUUGUCUUUACCACAGCCCUGGUAAUGAUAUUACAAAGAUGCUGAUUCUUUUUCUUUGUGGGUGCUUGUGAUGCAUUCUCAGGAUGAAAAGGUAACUGCUGAGAGUACUGAGCAUUGCAUUAAAAAAUAAAAUUAGUAUUAUAUUUUUUACACAUGAAGUGUGUCCAUACAUGAUCUAUUCCUUAAGGUGUGCGAGCAGCAGAAAAAGGCUUUGUCUCAUCCAUUUACAGAAUUGUUUUUUUGAUGAUAUACAGGAAGAAAAAAUCUCAUAUUUGGAACUGAAUUAAUUGAGUUCUGUGCUGGCUACCUGUAUGUGGGAGCCCAGCAACGUGUCUCAUACUCCUGUGUAAGGUUUGACUGACUAGAUAGAAACAGAGCAUUGGUUUGUUCUUUAACUGAGGGUCUGAACUCAAAUUUGAAGCUGCCUUAAUUUCCUGGUUUAGAGCUAGGGAAAUACAAAAGGGUUAUAGAUCUUGUAGAAGUCAGAGUGCAGUGACCUGCUGUCUUACCAACUUCAUGUAAAAUUCUCACUCUUGACAUUCUUUCCAGAUCCACUUCAAUUCUGAGAUGAUGUGUAAGAAAGCUGAAUUAGCUUCCAUGCUUUCAAACAAGUGUUAGUUAAGACAUAAUGCUGUAGCACAUGGCAACUAAUUUGUUAUUGUAACAGAUGAGCUCUUGAUGUACCUCCCUCCUUCUUCUGCCUAGAGCACAACACACUGCUUCCAAUGCUACAAGAGAGCUGCACUAACUCUAAAAUACAGAAAGCUGAUUAUAGCUCAUUCAAACUGUCUAUGGGAAGAAAAGCAACAACGCUGUUAGAAGCAUGAUUCUCCAAUGAAAGAGAACUGGAGGAGUGCUGUGAUGAAUUUUUUUUGGGAUGAUGUGAAGUUUUGUGGGUUGUGAGUGUUGAGGAAGAGGUAGGUAUAACCAAACCUGGUAAAACUGCUCUGGUGGUUUUUGCAGAUGUGCCUCAUGAACUGUGUGAUAAACAUGGAGAGCCUGUCUUGUCUCCAGUCUACCAUAACUACAGAUCAUCAGAGCAGAACACCUGUUGAUGCUGAAGACAAUUCUGAUAAGGUGCUGAUAAGGUAAAGAUACCUCAAUCACAAUGAUACUUCAAUACCACGUAUAACCUGGCUAAAGCUUUUAGGUGAAGCUGGCAUCUCUGAAACAAAGACCUACCAAUUCUGUUAAGGUGUGAACUUGUGCUGCAGCUUGUGUGAACUAGGAAAUGCAUACCACCCUUUCUUGUAGAGCACCACAGCAAAGUGGUAUAAGAUCAAAUGUUCAGGUUACAUAAAUGAAGUCUAUGCCUUCAAUGGGAAGAACUAUUCCUCUUUUUAAAAAGAAAACAACCAAUGGACUUGGACUUGAGUGGGAAGCUCCAACUUAUGUCUCCCAGCUUGCACCAAUGCAACUUUAAAAUCGGCUAGAUGCAAGUUUUGCUUUUGGAUCUCUACAGAGUACACUUCCUAGCUUCUGGGCUGCCCUGCUCCCUCCUAGGUGGGCAGUGUCUCCUAACCCAUCAGUUUAGUGAUUCAUCUUCCUCGUCAGCUGCAAGAAAUCCAAACAAGCCAAAAUCUGAGAGAGCACACAGAGGGAGAACACAGAGACGACUUCUAAAGCCAGUUGAAGCUGCCACCUUGUCAUUCCUGUUAAUACUUCAAUAAAUAAGUAUUUUAAGAGAAUAGUCAGUUAAAGAUUGACUGACCUGACGAGAAUAAAUUGGAAACCCAAUCUGAUGGAACUUCUAUUUGGAUUUGUCUGUUUGUGAGUGCUGCAACAAACCAGUCACUUUCUUAUUUUGGGAACUGGCAGGCAAGAUUGUGAUUCAUCACAGUUCUUGUGUGUAUGGCAGGAACAAGGUAGAGGUUGGAGAUGAGUCCCAUUUUCUGCAGAUUAAAAACAAGAUUUGUUGUUCAUAAGGAUAUAACUAAGACCAUUACUACAGUUGCAUCCAUCCUUCCAAGAUAUUAAUGCCCUUGAAAAAAAAUUGAUUUCCUAGAUGGAAAAAUAAAGAUGAGAACUGGAAGAAGCUCUGGGAAACUGGAAGACAUUGCAAAGGAAGCCUCUGGGAUUUCAGGGAGCAGGACAGUCUCCAAAGCGUUCUGCCUACGAAAGCCUGAGUGCCCGAGCUGCUGGUAUGUGCUUACACUGACACAAGCACUAUUUUCAUGAGUCCGUAAUUAUUCUGACCUAUAAUUAAUACUUUCCUCAUGCUUUGUUUACUAUAUCAAUUUGUUUCAGGAGCCUUCUGAAGUGCAGCAAGGUACUGUAUAGCCUUUAAUGGAAGUUCAUUGAGGAAAGUUACCCUAAAUUGUUAAGUGUCUAGGUGGCAAUUACCUAAGGUUAACAUUCUGAUGAGGCUCUUCUGCGAAGCAGCAAAUAAUAGAGGUAAUAUCUUGUCUGGAUUGGAAGUUUUAAAAUAGAAAAUGGAUAUGCUUACUUAGUACCUUAACCGUGGUACAAGAGUCAACUGGCUUUUCUGAGCUCCUUCCUCCUUGCUGGUCUGAGAUCAAGUAAAACACCACUCUGCAGUUUGACAGAGAAACUGCCCCAGUGCAGGGGGAAGCUACGGAGGGAGUGGCAGAGCACAGAGCAGAGUCAGACUGAAUGCACUUGAGAUGACAGGAUCAGCUGUGCACAAAUACUUGUGGAAAUGAAGCUCAGUAAUUACAGAUGCCUUCCUCUGGAAUAUUAGCUAAUUGAGCUGGUAUUACUUAUGGCCAAACAACCAGAAUGUAUUCUCAGAGUGCUAGACCACCAAAAUGCUGUAUUUUAAGCAGCACCCUUAGGACAGUGAGUUGAUGAAUGAACCUGUAAGGUCUGAUAACAAGAACUGUCUCUCAAGAAGCGACAAGCUGUAGGAGUUCUUGAUAGUUGCUUUCCAUCUUUUAUUGUAACACGUUUACUAUGCUGUUGGUAUCUAGUUAACUGGUGCCACAAAAAAAAAAAUCCUAGUGUAAUAAAAUGAGUAUUCUCUUUGCCUGCAAAUAUCAAAUAUUUCUCCUUUUGGUUUUCAUCUUCUUAAGUAACAAAAUCUAUGGGAAGAGGGAGUAAAAUAUUCUGGUCUGAAUUUGACGCUAGCCACAGCAUGUUUCUGUGCUGGUGUCAUAAAGGAAGGGAAGCAUAUCUUGGUCUUAAGUCAGAGGGUGGAUUUAGGCUGUAAUUUAAUGUGCACAGCAGCAUGUCCCAAUCAGCUUGAAAGCCUGUAG